CCUACGGGUGGCUGCAGUGGGGAAUAUUGGACAAUGGGCGAAAGCCUGAUCCAGCCAUGCCGCGUGUGUGAAGAAGGCCUUCGGGUUGUAAAGCACUUUCAGUGGGGAAGAAAGCCUUGGGGCUAAUACCCUCGAGGAAGGACAUCACCCACAGAAGAAGCACCGGCUAACUCCGUGCCAGCAGCCGCGGUAAUACGGAGGGUGCGAGCGUUAAUCGGAAUUACUGGGCGUAAAGCGCGCGUAGGCGGUCUGAUAAGCCGGUUGUGAAAGCCCCGGGCUCAACCUGGGAACGGCAUCCGGAACUGUCAGGCUAGAGUGCAGGAGAGGAAGGUAGAAUUCCCGGUGUAGCGGUGAAAUGCGUAGAGAUCGGGAGGAAUACCAGUGGCGAAGGCGGCCUUCUGGACUGACACUGACGAUGAGGUGCGAAAGCGUGGGUAGCAAACAGGAUUAGAUACCCUAGUAGUC
rnacentral:rRNA from 1 species